rnacentral:rRNA from 1 species
CACGUAGGGUGCGAGCGUUGUCCGGAAUUAUUGGGCGUAAAGAGCUCGUAGGCGGUGUGUCACGUCGGCCGUGAAAACCUACAGCUUAACUGUGGGCGUGCGGUCGAUACGGGCAUCACUGGAGUUCGGCAGGGGAGACUGGAAUUCCUGGUGUAGCGGUGAAAUGCGCAGAUAUCAGGAGGAACACCGGUGGCGAAGGCGGGUCUCUGGGCCGAUACUGACGCUGAGGAGCGAAAGCGUGGGGGAGCAAACAGG